rnacentral:rRNA from 1 species
ACGGAGGGAGCUAGCGUUGUUCGGAAUUACUGGGCGUAAAGCGCGCGUAGGCGGCUUUGUAAGUUAGAGGUGAAAGCCUGGAGCUCAACUUCAGAAUUGCCUUUAAGACUGCAUCGCUUAAAUCCGGGAGAGGUGAGUGGAAUUCCGAGUGUAGAGGUGAAAUUCGUAGAUAUUCGGAAGAACACCAGUGGCGAAGGCGGCUCACUGGACCGGCAUUGACGCUGAGGUGCGAAAGCGUGGGGAGCAAACAGGA